GACGAACGCUGGCGGCGUGCUUAACACAUGCAAGUCGAACGGAAAGGCCCUGCUUUUGUGGGGUGCUCGAGUGGCGAACGGGUGAGUAACACGUGAGUAACCUGCCCUUGACUUUGGGAUAACUUCAGGAAACUGGGGCUAAUACCGGAUAGGAGCUCCUGCUGCAUGGUGGGGGUUGGAAAGUUUCGGCGGUUGGGGAUGGACUCGCGGCUUAUCAGCUUGUUGGUGGGGUAGUGGCUUACCAAGGCUUUGACGGGUAGCCGGCCUGAGAGGGUGGCCGGCCACAUUGUGACUGAGAUACGGCCCAGACUCCUACGGGAGGCAGCAGUGGGGAAUAUUGCACAAUGGGCGGAAGCCUGAUGCAGCAACGCCGCGUGCGGGAUGACGGCCUUCGGGUUGUAAACCGCUUUCGCCUGUGACGAAGCGUGAGUGACGGUAAUGGGUAAAGAAGCACCGGCUAACUACGUG
rnacentral:rRNA from 1 species